rnacentral:rRNA from 1 species
UACGGAGGGGACUAGCGUUGUUCGGAAUUACUGGGCGUAAAGCGCGCGUAGGCGGGUUGGUAAGUCCGCUGUGAAAGCCCGGAGCUCAACUCCGGAGGGUCGGUGGAUACUGCCAGUCUUGAAGGUGCUAGGGGGAGAUGGAAUUACCGGUGUAGCGGUGAAAUGCGUAGAUAUCGGUAGGAACACCAGUGGCGAAGGCGGUCUCCUGGGGCAUUCUUGACGCUGAGGCGCGAAAGCUGGGGGAGCGAACGGG